AGGAGCUUGCUUCUCUGGAUGAGUUGCGAACGGGUGAGUAACGCGUAGGUAACCUGCCUGGUAGCGGGGGAUAACUAUUGGAAACGAUAGCUAAUACCGCAUAAUAUUGAUUAUUGCAUGAUAGUCAAUUAAAAGGUGCAAUUGCAUCACUACCAGAUGGACCUGCGUUGUAUUAGCUAGUUGGUGAGGUAACGGCUCACCAAGGCAACGAUACAUAGCCGACCUGAGAGGGUGAUCGGCCACACUGGGACUGAGACACGGCCCAGACUCCUACGGGAGGCAGCAGUAGGGAAUCUUCGGCAAUGGACGGAAGUCUGACCGAGCAACGCCGCGUGAGUGAAGAAGGUUCUCGGAUCGUAAAGCUCUGUUGUAAGAGAAGAACGAGUGUGAGAGUGGAAAGUUCACACUGUGACGGUAUCUUACCAGAAAGGGACGGCUAACUACGUGCCAGCAGCCGCGGUAAUACGUAGGUCCCGAGCGUUGUCCGGAUUUAUUGGGCGUAAAGCGAGCGCAGGCGGUUAGAUAAGUCUGAAGUUAAAGGCUGUGGCUUAACCAUAGUACGCUUUGGAAACUGUUUAACUUGAGUGCAAGAGGGGAGAGUGGAAUUCCAUGUGUAGCGGUGAAAUGCGUAGAUAUAUGGAGGAACACCGGUGGCGAAAGCGGCU
rnacentral:rRNA from 1 species